ensembl:lncRNA
GGGCCCUUCUCUCUCUUUCAGAGGCCACCUGCGUUGCUACUCAGGUACCUCCCUUCACCUUUAAAAAAAUAAGGGCAUAGAAGUCUUCCUAAGGCUUUGACUGUCUCUUAACUUCUCCUUUCUACCAGCAAGAGAAAACUCUACUUGUAAAGGGCUGACCUGACUGGGUCAGGCCCACCAAAAUGAUCUCUCUGUUUUAAGGCCAACAGAUUUGGAGCUUUAAUUACAUUUGCAAAAUCUUUUCAGAGCAGUACUUUGAAGAGUAUUUAAAUAACCAAGGAAUGGGAAUCUUAGGGGGCCAUUUUAGAAUUCUGCCUAUCACAACCUCUACAUUUAUACAUUGGCCUUAGAGUUGUUAUUUUGUUAUAAUGUAUUCUGGUAGAGACUUUUUGUAAAAAAUCAGGAACUUGACCCACUAUUUUCCCGUUUACCUUUUAUGCUUUCUAUUUCCUCUUUUUCAAACUAUCAUUAGAAAUAUCACUUCUUUCCCUUAAAUUUUCAUUAGGAUUUUGUGUUAUUUUUACACCAUUUCUCUAUGUGUCAAAUAGGAGGUGGAGAUUACCCUGUCAACUACAGUCUGCCUAAUUGUUUAGAAGUCAGUGAGGGUUUUUAAUCACCACCUGCAGUAAUUUGUUUACCAGUGGGUAACACAUCAGGGUAGAACCUAGAGGCCAGAAUCAGGUAUUCGGAAUCAAGCACAUGUUCUGAGAAGUGACGAAUCAGUUUUCUUGCUCCCCUUUCUAUUUGGGAAUUUGAAAUUUGUGCUCUCUAUGGACAUGGUAUAUGGAUAAAAAGCAAUGCUAUUAUUUGCAGACUAACUUAGUAAUCUUUUGAAAUGAUUCAUUAGUGGUGAUGAGUGGUAUAAAAGAAUUAAUGUAGGUUACAAAAUGUCCUGACAUUCAUUGGUUACAGAGGCACACUUUUUUUAAAGUAUUAACUUUGAAGUAUUAUUUUUCACUUUCAUUUAGGUCCACAUCAGAAAGUAGCAGCCAAUCAGAUACUGUCAGAUCGAAGUCAGAAAGUAGUCCCCAAACAAAUCGCAGCAGUAACUAACAAUUCCUUCAGAAGGCAAUGGAUAUCACUCGGGGUCUCACUGAAAAAUGAAAAUUCGACCUUUUCUUCUCUGGUCACAGCUG